CCUCUCGUAACUCAGAUGGUCAGAGUCUGAUGCUUAUAGCUUCAAGCCUGCGAUAAUGCAGGAGAGACGUUACGUCAAGGUCGCGGGUUCGAUCCCCGCCGAGAGGA